AAAUGAAUUGACGGGGGCCCGCACAAGCGGAGGAACAUGUGGUUUAAUUCGAUGAUACGCGAGGAACCUUACCCGGGCUCGAACGGCAGAGGGAUGAAUCAGAGAUGGUUCAGUCAGCAAUGACUUCUGUCGAGGUGCUGCAUGGUUGUCGUCAGCUCGUGCCGUGAGGUGUCGGCUUAAGUGCCAUAACGAGCGCAACCCUUGUUGUCAGUUGCCAUCAGGUAAAGCUGGGGACUCUGGCAAGACUGCCACCGUAAGGUGUGAGGAAGGGGGGGAUGACGUCAAAUCAGCACGGCCCUUACGUCCGGGGCGACACACGUGUUACAAUGGUCGGUACAGAGGGCAGCUACUAUGUGAAUAGGUGCCAAUCUCAAAAACCGGUCUCAGUUCGGAUUGGAGUCUGCAACCCGACUCCAUGAAGUUGGAUUCGCUAGUAAUCGCGCAUCAGCCAUGGCGCGGUGAAUACGUUCCCGGGCCUUGUACACACCGCCCGU
rnacentral:rRNA from 1 species